rnacentral:rRNA from 1 species
AAAUCUGCUCAAUGAACAUUUAAAUAGCCGCAAUUAGUGCUAAGGUAGCAUAAUAAUUUGUCUUUUAAAUAAAGACUAGAACAAAAGAUUUAACAUUUUAACUAAUUUUUUUAAGAAAUUUUUCAAAAUUUUUUUAAAGUUAAAAAACUUUAAUAUUAUAAAAAGACGAUAAGACCCUAUUGAACUUUACUUAAGUUUUACUGGGGCAGUAAAUUAAUUAUUAUUUUAAUAAAAAUAUCAUGAUUAAUAGCCUUAUAUUUGAUAAUUAAGUUACCAUAGGGAUAACAGCGUAAUUAUAUUUUAAAGAUCUUAUAAAAAAUAUAGAUUGCGACCUCGAUGUUGAAUUAAUAACCUUAUUAAAGCAAAAUUUAAAUUAGGAAGUCUGUUCGACUUUUAAAAAAUUACAUGAUUUGAGUUCAGACCGGUGUAAGCCAGGUCGGUUUCUAUCUUUUUUAAAAAUUUUUGUAGUACGAAAGGACCUAAAAAUACAAUUUUAUUUAUAAAAUUGGCAGAUUAAUGCAUUAGAAUUAGAAUCUAAUAAACUAAAUAUUUUUUAAUUAAUUACAUUCUAAUCACAGUGAGAAUCCUAAUUAGAGUAGCCUUUUAUACUAUUUUAGAACGAAAAAUUUUAAGAUAUAUACAAAUUCGUAAAGGGCCUAACAAAGUAGGAUUUAUAGGAAUUUUACAACCUUUUAGAGAUGCUUUAAAAUUAUUUAAUAAAAAUCUUUUGUCAUCAGAAAAUAUAAAUUUAUUUAUCUCAUAUUCCACCCCUGCUUUUUCCUUAUUUAUUAGAAUUUUAUUAAUCCCUAUUAUUUCUUACAACUCGUUUUCAUUAUUUGAUAAUAAACAUAGAAUUUUAUUAUUUUUUAUUUUAUCUAGAACUGCAGUUUAUUUUAUUCUCCUAAUUGGCUGAUCAGCAAACUCUAAAUAUAGCCACAUAGU